rnacentral:rRNA from 1 species
GCAGUAAGGAAUACAGGGCAAGGGGUUAGCGCCCGAUCCAGCCAUCCCGCGUGAAGGACGACGGCCCUAUGGGUUGUAAACUUCUUUUGUACAGGGAUAAUCCUAUUUUCGUGUAAAUAGCUGACGGUACCGUCAGAAUAAGCACCGGCUAACUCCGUGCCAGCAGCCGCGGUAAUACGGAGGGUGCAAGCGUUAUUCGGAUUUAUUGGGUGUAAAGGGUCCGUAGGCGGUUGGGUAAGUCAGUGGUGAAAUCUCACAGCUCAACUGUGAAACUGCCAUUGAUACUGCCUGUCUUGAGUAAGGUAGAGGUAGCUGGAAUAAGUAGUGUAGCGGUGAAAUGCAUAGAUAUUGGAGGAACACCAAGGCGAAGGCAGGUUACUAGUCGUAACUGACGCUGAGGACGAA